GAUGAACGCUGGCGGCGUGCCUAAUACAUGCAAGUCGAGCGAACGGACGAGAAGCUUGCUUCUCUGAUGUUAGCGGCGGGCGGGUGAGUAACACGUGGAUAACCUACCUAUAAGACUGGGAUAACUUCGGGAAACCGGAGCUAAUACCGGAUAAUAUUUUGAACCGCAUGGUGCAAAAGUGAAAGACGGUCUUGCUGUCACUUAUAGAUGGAUCCGCGCUGCAUUAGCUAGUUGGUAAGGUAACGGCUUACCAAGGCAACGAUGCAUAGCCGACCUGAGAGGGUGAUCGGCCACACUGGAACUGAGACACGGUCCAGACUCCUACGGGAGGCAGCAGUAGGGAAUCUUCCGCAAUGGGCGAAAGCCUGACGGAGCAACGCCGCGUGAGUGAUGAAGGUCUUCGGAUCGUAAAACUCUGUUAUUAGGGAAGAACAUAUGUGUAAGUAACUGUGCACAUCUUGACGGUACCUAAUCAGAAAGCCACGGCUAACUACGUG
rnacentral:rRNA from 1 species